rnacentral:misc_RNA from 1 species
ACCUUAUAAUGGGGGUUUAGAUGUACUUUAGUCUUUUUACUGGAAUUUUUGUUUUGGGGAAGGCUGUUCUUUUCCAUUUGAUUUUAUUGUUGACUUUUGAGGACUUUUCUAUUAAAACUUGAACACUUUCUGGUCAACGUUGUACUUCAAACGAGGACACAAAACCACCCUGAAGAAUUACCACUGAUGCCUAAGCUUAAGGUUGUUGGUAAUGAAUAAUUUGUUCAUUUAAUCAAUUCUCUAGCACAUACAAAAAAACGGAUAGAUACAGAACACACAAGAAAAAUGAGCCCUCUAGAAAUAGGAAUUAGAGCUAAUUAAGAUGAUUUAAUGAUGUCUAUGGUGCUCGAUUAGCAGACUUUAAUUUAGACAGAAAAUUAUUGUUUUGUAAUUUUCAUGUGGGUAAUUUGUAUACGCAUGUAGCUUUCUAUAACCUUUUCUCUA